ensembl:lncRNA LINC01500 long intergenic non-protein coding RNA 1500
GGUAGUAGCGCUGCCUGCAAACCAGCACCAAGGCUGCAAACGAAGCCAGAAAGAUGGUGGCCAGCACACCUAUGGCAACUAUCACCACGGUCUCCAUGCUUCCGGGGAGCUCCUGACUCAGUCCCGUUCACAUCGUCCUCAUGGGCUAAGGCUGCUGGAAGUGGCAAACUGGGGGAAGAGGAUGGCAGGAGCUAGGUUCCUCCACGACACCUCCAGAGACCUGAGGGCCUCAAGCUGCAGCUCCGGGGCACAUCCCGCUGCGCUCCCACGACGGCCCCGCGGAUGGCAAAGUCAGCGACAGAGUCUUGCUUUGUCGCCAGGCUGGAGUGCUGUGGCGCAAUUUCGGCUCACUGAAACCUCUGCCUCCCGGCUUCAAGUGAUUCUCCUGCCUCAGCCGCCCAAGUAGCUGGGACUACAGGCGCCCGCCACCACACCAGCUAAUUUUUAAUUGACCACAAGAGAAGACUCCCUUUCAAACUCUUCAUUCUCUGGUUCAGAGGUUUGAUGUAAUGGUUGUCUCAUCGUACAUGGUCAGCCACAGGAUAUACUUCAUCCAUUUCAGAGCUGUACUCCUGAGUUCCAUGCUAUAAUCAGAAAUAUGUGGCACAUUUUGAACAAAGGAAAUAUAUACCCAACAAAGUGUUAAAAUGGAGCUGCCAACCAGACAAACCCUAGAAAUAUGUAGCCACUUACAGGCAGAACACAACUACAUGUGUUCCCAAUGUGGAAGGCAUUCCGGAAGUGUAUGCAUCCACAUUUCUACAUGAGGCAUCGCCUAUGCAGGCAAUCAAAGGAUGUUGAUGGAUAAGUGUUUCAGGCAGAAUAAUGGCCCUCAAAGAUGUUGACACCAGAAUCUUCAGAACCUUUGCAUAUGUUACCUAACAUGACAAAAGGGACUUUGCUGAUGUGAUUAAGGUUAAGAACUUUGAGAAGGGAAGAUUAUCCUGGAUUAUACAGCUAUUUAUUAUCUACUCUGCACCAAUCAUCAGAUGUAGUGGUGAAAAGAUGGACAAAAUUUCUACUCUCAGCUUACAUUUUGGUGAUGGGAGAUGGACAAUCAACCCAGGUCAAUGACAGAUGCUGGAGCAGAACACAUAGACAUACAGGUCGACGUUUAUUUCUUUCUGAACUUUCCUGGAGGAUCAUCGGCCAUACUCCAGCAGAAGGGUGGAUUUGAAAAAAUAACCUCCUGCUCUUUUUCUAUUUGGACACCUGGACAUGGAUGUCCGCUUCCCUGGGAGUACCAGUUACACCCUUUCCAAGUUGUCUGAAGGAAGACGUUGGAGAAUUCACAUGCUAUUUUAGCUGGCUCUGUGAUUGCAAUCACACAAAUCAUUACAUUCCAGCGAGAUCCCAUCAACAGAAGGUUUUUCCAUUUCAGUCUGUCAAGACUUCUGAAAGAAUAAAGAAAAAUUUCCUCCAGUUCUUGAGGUAAAGGAGAAGUCUCUGCCUCUACUAUCUGGACAACUGGAACUCUCUCUCUUUAAUCUCUUGAAUGAGAAGGGGUGCCGUCUUCCAGGCUCUGGGGUUAUGCCCAUCCUUCCACUGCAUGAUUGAGAAAGGUGCAAGGAGAGCCUUUUGUUUGAGUCCUUUAAAAGCUAGAAUGUCCACAAGGAAAGAGCUACUGGACCUGGAGACCACACAAAUGAAGUAACCUGAGAUUUAAAAAAAAUAUAUUUAUGUUCUGAA